GAUUCCCCUAGUAACUGCGAGUGAAGCGGGAAAAGCUCAAAUUUAAAAUCUGUCAGUCUUUGGCUGUCCGAGUUGUAAUCUAGAGAAGUGUUAUCCGCGCUGGACCGUGUACAAGUCUCCUGGAAUGGAGCGUCAUAGAGGGUGAGAAUCCCGUCUUUGACACGGAUUGCCAGGGCUUUGUGAUAUGCUCUCAAAGAGUCGAGUUGUUUGGGAAUGCAGCUCAAAAUGGGUGGUAAAUUCCAUCUAAAGCUAAAUAUUGGCGAGAGACCGAUAGCGAACAAGUACCGUGAGGGAAAGAUGAAAAGAACUUUGGAAAGAGAGUUAAACAGUACGUGAAAUUGCUGAAAGGGAAACGCUUGAAGUCAGUCGCGUUGACUGGGGAUCAACCCUUGCUUUUGCUUGGUGUACUUUCUGGUCGACGGGUCAGCAUCAAUUUUGACUAUUGGAAAAAGAUUAGGGGAAUGUGGCAUCUUUGGAUGUGUUAUAGCCUCUGGUUGUAUACAAUGGUUCAGAUUGAGGAACUCAGCACGCCGCAAGGCCGGGUUUUUUUUUUUUUAAAAACCACGUACGUGCUUAGGAUGUUGGCAUAAUGGCUUUAAUUGACCCGUCUUGAAACACGGACCAAGGAGUCUAACAUGCCUGCGAGUGUUUGGGUGGAAAACCCGAGCGCGUAAUGAAAGUGAAAGUUGAGAUCCCUGUCGUGGGGAGCAUUGACGCCCGGACCAGACCUUUUGUGACGGUUCCGCGGWAGAGCAUGUAUGUUGGGACCCGAAAGAUGGUGAACUAUGCCUGAAUAGGGUGAAGCCAGAGGAAACUCUGGUGGAGGCUCGUAGCGAUUCUGACGUGCAAAUCGAUCGUCAAAUUUGGGUAUAGGGGCGAAAGA
rnacentral:rRNA from 1 species